rnacentral:rRNA from 1 species
UACAGAGGUGGCAAGCGUUGUUCGGAAUUACUGGGCGUAAAGGGCGCGUAGGCGGCCCGUCAAGUCCCGUGUGAAAGCCCCCGGCUCAACCGGGGAACUGCACGGGAAACUAGCAGGCUUGAGUUCGGGAGAGGGAAGCGGAAUUUCGGGUGUAGCGGUGAAAUGCGUAGAUAUCUGGAGGAACACCGGUGGCGAAGGCGGCAUCCUGGACCGACACUGACGCUGAGGAGCGAAAGCCAGGGGAGCAAACGGG